AGUGAACGCUGGCGGUAGGCCUAACACAUGCAAGUCGAACGGCAGCACAGUAAGCGCUUGCUCUUACGGGUGGCGACUGGCGGACGGGUGAGGAAUACAUCGGAAUCUACUUUUUCGUGGGGGAUAACGUAGGGAAACUUACGUUAAUACCGCAUACGACCUACGGGUGAAAGCAGGGGAUCUUCGGACCUUGCGCGAUAGUAUGAGCCGAUGUCGGAUUAGCUAGUUGGCGGGGUAAAGGCCCACCAAGGCGACGAUCCGUAGCUGGUCUGAGAGGAUGAUCAGCCACACUGGAACUGAGACACGGUCCAGACUCCUACGGGAGGCAGCAGUAGGGAAUAUUGGACAAUGGGCGCAAGCCUGAUCCAGCCAUGCCGCGUGAGUGAAGAAGGCCUUCGGAUUGUAAAGCCCUGUUAUUGGGAAAGAAAAGCAGCAGGUUAAUACCCCGCUGUUCUGACGGUACCCAAAGAAAAAGCACCGGCUAACUUCGUG
rnacentral:rRNA from 1 species